rnacentral:rRNA from 1 species
GAUGAACGCUGGCGGCGUGCCUAAUACAUGCAAGUCGAGCGAACAGACGAGGAGCUUGCUUCUCUGAUGUUAGCGGCGGACGGGUGAGUAACACGUGGAUAACCUACCUAUAAGACUGGGAUAACUUCGGGAAACCGUAGCUAAUACCGGAUAAUAUUUUGAACCGCAUGGUUCAAUAGUGAAAGACGGUCUUGCUGUCACUUAUAGAUGGAUCCGCGCUGCAUUAGCUAGUUGGUAAGGUAACGGCUUACCAAGGCAACGAUGCAUAGCCGACCUGAGAGGGUGAUCGGCCACACUGGAACUGAGACACGGUCCAGACUCCUACGGGAGGCAGCAGUAGGGAAUCUUCCGCAAUGGGCGAAAGCCUGACGGAGCAACGCCGCGUGAGUGAUGAAGGUCUUCGGAUCGUAAAACUCUGUUAUUAGGGAAGAACAAAUGUGUAAGUAACUAUGCACGUCUUGACGGUACCUAAUCAGAAAGCCACGGCUAACUACGUG